rnacentral:rRNA from 1 species
UUCGUAGGCGGAUUAAUAAGUCAGUGGUGAAAACCUGCAGCUUAACUGUAGACUUGCCAUUGAUACUGUUAGUCUUGAGUACGGUCAAGGUAGGCGGAAUGUGUAAUGUAGCGGUGAAAUGCUUAGAUAUUACACAGAACACCGAUUGCGAAGGCAGCUUACUGGGCCAUUACUGACGCUGAGGCACGAAAGCGUGGGGAGCGAACAGGAUUAGAUACCCUGGUAGUCC